rnacentral:rRNA from 1 species
GUAGGGAAUAUUGGGCAAUGGAUGCAAGUCUGACCCAGCCAUCCCGCGUGCCGGAAGAAGGCCCUCAGGGUUGUAAACGGCUUUUGACGGUGAAGAAUCGACAGGAUGCGUCCUGUUUUGACGGUAGCCGUUGAAUAAGCACCGGCUAACUCCGUGCCAGCAGCCGCGGUAAUACGGAGGGUGCGAGCGUUGUCCGGAUUUAUUGGGUUUAAAGGGUGCGUAGGCUGGAAGGUCAGUCAGCGGUGAAAAGCUAUCGCUUAACGAUAGUCUUGCCGCAGAUACUUCCUUUCUUGGAUGAGGAGGAGGCCACUGGAACGGAUGGUGUAGCGGUGAAAUGCAUAGAUAUCAUCCAGAACACCGAUUGCGAAGGCAGGUGGCUGUACCUUAAUCGACGCUGAUGCACGAAAGCAUGGGGAGCAAACAGGAUUAGAAACCCCUGUAGUCC